rnacentral:rRNA from 1 species
UACGUAGGGUCCGAGCGUUAAUCGGAAUUACUGGGCGUAAAGCGUGCGCAGGCGGUUUUGUAAGCCAGAUGUGAAAGCCCCGGGCUCAACCUGGGAACUGCAUUUGGGACUGCAAGGCUGGAGUACGGCAGAGGGAGGUGGAAUUCCACGUGUAGCAGUGAAAUGCGUAGAGAUGUGGAGGAACACCGAUGGCGAAGGCAGCCUCCUGGGCUAGUACUGACGCUCAUGCACGAAAGCGUGGGGAGCAAAAGGG